UAUUUUACUGAAUCUGAACGAAAUGGUUUUAAACUUUAAAAUAAAUGGCGAAUUUGUAGGAAUAACAUCUUAAAGUACUGGCCCACUGGUAGCAAGUAGACAUCCCGAAUCUUCAGCCAUGACAAGCGACGGGCAAGGGGUGUUCACGCACCGUAACGUCAUUUGGCCCCCACACUCUGGAGACAUGUUUGAUUGGUGGGGCUGCUCGCCCGAAGGGAGCGUUUUGAAACACAGACAACCCGCCCCCGUCCCGCUGCCGAGAAAACGACUUCCGCUUCGACGUGACCAACUUUGUUGGCCCCUGUGUAAAGGAGCUACACCCGAAAAUACUCUGGCAGCGACGCUGGACCCAAUGGGUGACUGCGAGGUCAGUCGAGACUACUGGCCCGACAAGAAGAAGAAAGAAAAGUUCCCCGAACACCAGCGACCUCCUUUUGUGCCUACUCUGGCUCCGAACCAAUUUGGGUUGAUCAAGUACCCACCGCCGUACACCUACUACUGCCGGAGAAGAGACACGCCUCUGACCUUCGUUCACAAGAUUUAAAAUGGGACGUAACUCUAAUUUUGAGUUCUAGGCUGAGGAGGAAAAACCGUCCUCAGAGUGAUUUCCCUUGUCCUAAAAUUCUUCGUGUGUUCCAUGGUUAUUACAUCACCAUCGUCUGUUGAACUAUUUGAGUCUAUUUUAGUCGCCACAAUGUAGGCCUAUGCUAUACAGAUCAUAGUUUCGUAACAUCUAAAAAUAGAACAAAUAUAAUAAAGCAUUAAUUAAAUG
rnacentral:sRNA from 1 species